rnacentral:rRNA from 1 species
AGAGUUUGAUCCUGGCUCAGGAUGAACGCUGGCGGCGUGCCUAAUACAUGCAAGUCGAGCGAACGGACGAGAAGCUUGCUUCUCUGAUGUUAGCGGCGGACGGGUGAGUAACACGUGGAUAACCUACCUAUAAGACUGGGAUAACUUCGGGAAACCGGAGCUAAUACCGGAUAAUAUUUUGAACCGCAUGGUUCAAAAGUGAAAGACGGUCUUNNNNNNNNNCUGUCACUUAUAGAUGGAUCCGCGCUGCAUUAGCUAGUUGGUAAGGUAACGGCUUACCAAGGCAACGAUGCAUAGCCGACCUGAGAGGGUGAUCGGCCACACUGGAACUGAGACACGGUCCAGACUCCUACGGGAGGCAGCAGUAGGGAAUCUUCCGCAAUGGGCGAAAGCCUGACGGAGCAACGCCGCGUGAGUGAUGAAGGUCUUCGGAUCGUAAAACUCUGUUAUUAGGGAAGAACAUAUGUGUAAGUAACUGUGCACAUCUUGACGGUACCUAAUCAGAAAGCCACGGCUAACUACGUGCCAGCAGCCGCGGUAAUACGUAGGUGGCAAGCGUUAUCCGGAAUUAUUGGGCGUAAAGCGCGCGUAGGCGGUUUUUUAAGUCUGAUGUGAAAGCCCACGGCUCAACCGUGGAGGGUCAUUGGAAACUGGAAAACUUGAGUGCAGAAGAGGAAAGUGGAAUUCCAUGUGUAGCGGUGAAAUGCGCAGAGAUAUGGAGGAACACCAGUGGCGAAGGCGACUUUCUGGUCUGUAACUGACGCUGAUGUGCGAAAGCGUGGGGAUCAAACAGGAUUAGAUACCCUGGUAGUCCACGCCGUAAACGAUGAGUGCUAAGUGUUAGGGGGUUUCCGCCCCUUAGUGCUGCAGCUAACGCAUUAAGCACUCCGCCUGGGGAGUACGACCGCAAGGUUGAAACUCAAAGGAAUUGACGGGGACCCGCACAAGCGGUGGAGCAUGUGGUUUAAUUCGAAGCAACGCGAAGAACCUUACCAAAUCUUGACAUCCUUUGACAACUCUAGAGAUAGAGCNUUCCCCUUCGGGGGACAAAGUGACAGGUGGUGCAUGGUUGUCGUCAGCUCGUGUCGUGAGAUGUUGGGUUAAGUCCCGCAACGAGCGCAACCCUUAAGCUUAGUUGCCAUCAUUAAGUUGGGCACUCUAAGUUGACUGCCGGUGACAAACCGGAGGAAGGUGGGGAUGACGUCAAAUCAUCAUGCCCCUUAUGAUUUGGGCUACACACGUGCUACAAUGGACAAUACAAAGGGCAGCGAAACCGUGAGGUCAAGCAAAUCCCAUAAAGUUGUUCUCAGUUCGGAUUGUAGUCUGCAACUCGACUACAUGAAGCUGGAAUCGCUAGUAAUCGUAGAUCAGCAUGCUACGGUGAAUACGUUCCCGGGUCUUGUACACACCGCCCGUCACACCACGAGAGUUUGUAACACCCGAAGCCGGUGGAGUAACCUUUUAGGAGCUAGCCGUCGAAGGUGGGACAAAUGAUUGGGGUGAAGUCGUAACAAGGUAGCCGUAUCGGAAGGUGCGGCUGGAUCACCU